rnacentral:lncRNA from 1 species
GAAGAAUCCUAAACUCACAGCCCCGCGGUCGCCAGGGGUGAGGCCGGGCCACUGGAGAGCGCGGGGCUGGGCGGGCUGGGGAUCGCGGUAGGGCGGCCAAAAGUGUCCAGGCAACUCGACGGGCGGGCAGAGAGGAAAAGCAGCGGAGAAAAACUUCCUCGAGAAAGGUGCAAAUCAGAAAACCUGCGGAAGCCACAACGGAAGCGGAUAAAGAAAGGUGACGCCCGGCCUUUAGUCUGUCUGGAUUUCUUUCCGAGAACAGAAUACAACUUGUUCUUUGUAGCUCUGUUGUAUCGAACAUAGCUUGGCUGCGCAGGACUCGGGUGCUGCGGCCUGGAGGGUGGGCGGGGCGGGGCUGGAAGUCCCCUUCCACCUGGCUCCGGGUGCGCCGGCCGGAGUCUGGUCGCAGGCAGGUGUGGGUGUGGGUGCUGGCGAGGUCGCCUCUCCGCCCGAAGGGGCGGUCAACGCUGUCAGCCUAGAGCCCUCGGCCGCCGGCGGGCACCUCAGCAGGGCCGCGACCGCGGACAAGUGACGGCCUAGCAGCGUGCUUUUGCUGGGCUCGCAGCAACUGGCACAGUGCUGCUGCUGCUGCUGCAAAAUCGUCCGGGCGGAGGCGGCAGCGGACACGUGCAGCAAGGGGGUAGCGGCCUGGGGAUGCAGCAGACACGACGGGCGCUGAGGCAGGUGGCAGUAGCCCCACGGCGUCUGAGGCAGGCUCUGCGCGGCCCCUAUGCUGGCGCCCUGCAUGAUACUCUCGAUGCUGAAGGAGGAG